CCAGACUCCUACGGGAGGCAGCAGUGGGGAAUAUUGCACAAUGGGCGGAAGCCUGAUGCAGCAACGCCGCGUGCGGGAUGACGGCCUUCGGGUUGUAAACCGCUUUCGCCUGUGACGAAGCGUGAGUGACGGUAAUGGGUAAAGAAGCACCGGCUAACUACGUGCCAGCAGCCGCGGUGAUACGUAGGGUGCGAGCGUUGUCCGGAUUUAUUGGGCGUAAAGGGCUCGUAGGUGGUUGAUCGCGUCGGAAGUGUAAUCUUGGGGCUUAACCCUGAGCGUGCUUUCGAUACGGGUUGACUUGAGGAAGGUAGGGGAGAAUGGAAUUCCUGGUGGAGCGGUGGAAUGCGCAGAUAUCAGGAGGAACACCAGUGGCGAAGGCGGUUCUCUGGGCCUUUCCUGACGCUGAGGAGCGAAAGCGUGGGGAGCGAACAGGCUUAGAUACCCUGGUAGUCCACGCUGUAAACGGUGGGUACUAGGUGUGGGGUCCAUUCCACGGGUUCCGUGCCGUAGCUAACGCUUUAAGUACCCCGCCUGGGGAGUACGGCCGCAAGGCUAACACUCAAAGGAAUUGACGGGGGCCCGCACAAG
rnacentral:rRNA from 1 species